ensembl:snRNA U4 U4 spliceosomal RNA
AGCUUUGUAUAGUGGCAGUAUCAUAGUUAAUGAGGUUUAUCUGAGGCGUAAUUAUUGCUAAUUAAAAUUUCUAUGAACCAAAUUGGCCAAAUCUAGAAUAUUUUGUGUAGGGGCAGCUCA